UAUUUCAGAAUAAUUAGGGCUCCUAUCACCUCACCAACCAUAAUAUGAGAGAGAAUUUGGCUGGAAUACUAUUAAUAGUAUUUAGGCUUUUUUACUAUUGAAUUUUUAAUCCUUGGAUGAAAAUUUAUAGAGUUAAGAUUAUACUGGUCUCCUAUAGGGUUUAGUGGUGGUCUCUCUAGAGUUGAGUGGGUGAUUGGUUGAACAGUAUAAUCUAAAGUGUAGAAUUGAUUAAAGUGUAGAUCUAACGGCUAAAAAAUCGAGAGCAAAAUAGUCUAAAUACUAUUAAUAGUAUUCCAGCUCAACUUUAUAUAGAGAGAGAGAGAGAGAGUUGAGUUGGAAUACUAUCAGUAGCAAAUCGGCUCUAUUGUCACUCAUUUAUUUUUUAUGAUGGAACCUCUAAAUCAAUGAUCGGUACAGUUGAAUAUACGAUCUAAUACCACUUGAAGAUCUAACUAAAAUUCAUAUUUUUUUGAUAUUGUUCUCUUGUCCAUCAAAUGGACACAAAAAUGAACGGCUAAAAAUAAAUAUUCUUUAAAAAAUGAUGAUAGGAGUCUUGUAAUCAAGAUCAAGAGUAUAAAUCUUGUUCUAAAUAGUUUAAAAAAUUUUCUAAUCAAAAUUUAAUUGAUUUUGAUAUCUUUACACCGUUAAACGAGAAAAUGUCUUAUAAUUAAAAUUGCAAAAUUUGAACCUUUGAUCAUUAGGCCAAUGAUGUCAAAAAGAUUUAAAAUUUGAUUUCUAAAUACUUUAAGUGGUAUAGAUCAUGCAUGUUCAAUUAUGUCGAUCAUCGAUUUGGAGGCUCUACCAUAAAAAAUAAAUGGAUGACAAUAAAGUUAGUUUGCUACUAAUAGUAAUCCAGCUCAACUCUAUAUUAUAGAUAGAGAGAGAGAGUUUGAUUAGGCUACCAUCGGUAGUAAAUGGCUUAAAUUACUAUCAAUUUAUUUUCGAUAAUAGAGUUUACAAAUUGACGGUCGGCACCAUUGAAUGUAAUCCAAGUCACUUAAAUUAUUUAGAAAUCAAAUUUUAUACUUUUUUUACAUUACUAACUGGAUGAUCAAAGGGUCACGAAAUUUGUAAUUUUAUUGGUCGAUAUGUAUGUUUGCUCGUUUAACAGUAUAGAAAAUCCAAAUAAGCUAAAUUUUUAUUAGAAAUUUUUAAAUUUAUUUAAAAUAAUAUCUUGAUGGUAGAUCUUAAAUACAAAAAUUAUAUCGUCAUUUUUUGAAGGAUAUUUAUUUUCAGUCAUUUAUUUUCUUUUCACUUGAUGGACAAGAAAAUAAUAUCGAAAAAGAAUACAUUUUGAUUUCUCGAUAGUUUAAAUGAUUUAGGUCAUAUUCAACGGUACCGAUCUCAAUUUAGAAGCUCAAUCACCGAAAAUAUAUAAAUCGAUAGUAAAUCGAGUCGUUUACUACCAAUAUAUAGUAUUCUAGUAAAUCUUUCUCUCUAUCUCUCUCUAUAUAUAUAAGAAGAAAAAUACUACAUGCAUGCCAUACAAUAGGGUGUAAAUCUACAAAUUUAAAUUUCUUUAAAUUUUUAGUAUUAAAAGAAAAGAUUGACAAGACCGACGAAUAAAAUAUUACCCUUUGAAUGGAUAGGUCUAAGAUUUAUAUCCUAUGUAUAGAUAUACAAAUAGCGUUGCUUAUAUGAAAAAUGUUAAGUUUACUACUCACAAAGAGCUGUAGAAUUAUAACCUUAAUUAAUCGAAUAACUGUAACUUUAUAUAUAUCUCUUAUGGUUUAAAAUUUUGGUUUUAGUAAUGAAAGAAACGAUAAGACUAGUCGAGAAAUAUGGGUUUUUGGAUGACAGUGUUAUACGGUUAUAAUUAAAAAGAUUGUAGGGCACCGACUGUCCCUAAAGCAAGUGGCAAAGGGCUUGGUGGUUGGUAUCUGAGACCCAGGUUCAAAUCCUAAUUGAUUCACAUUUUCCAGCUAAGUUUAUUUCUAAAUGAAAUAAACGAAGCGGAUAGCGUGCUACCUAUCUCUCUCUCAAAAAAAAAAAAAAAAAAAGAUUGUAGGGCAAACAUUGUUCUCUCUUUAGACAGUAUUUUUAGAUUUUAAUAUUAAAAAAUAUAGAUAAAUUUAGCGUGAACAUAUUGGCUUUUGAAUAGAAAAUUUUUUGGCAUUAUUUACUUAUUAGUGACCAAUAAGCAUAAAAGUGACAUUUUAAACGGUUUAUUCAAGUGUUUUCUAGUACAUGGUACAAAUUAAUUCAAAUCAACUAAAUUUUUAAUAGGAAAUUAUUUUUACUAUCUUGAAAAAGAUUACAACUCCGAUUUUGAAUUUAAAAAUUUUAUCUCCUAUUUUCAGAAGAUUGUUCAAUUUUGACUACAUAAAGAAACUACCAAUUCACUUAAAGUGUACAGAUACAGCAUUUACGGAUCCCGAUUGUGACUAAUUAGCUCGAUCAAGUCCGCUGCCAUUUCGAACAUGACUCGCGCAACUCAAUCUUUCGUCAUUUCGAGCGUGACUUAGCCUAGCAUAAUUUUCUGCCACGAGAUAGAAUACUGACCCUUUUAAGCCAACAACAACAAAAAGUUGGGAACUCUGAGUG
rnacentral:lncRNA from 1 species